rnacentral:misc_RNA from 1 species
UAUAAAACUUUACUCCUUUUUGUCAAACAAGCAAGCGUAAAUGUAAAAAGCCUGACGGCUUUUCCAAGAUGGUUAUUGAUCCUUCCGCAGGUUCACCUACGGAAA